rnacentral:rRNA from 1 species
GAUGAACGCUGGCGGCGUGCCUAAUACAUGCAAGUCGAGCGAACAGAUGAGGAGCUUGCUCCUCUGACGUUAGCGGCGGACGGGUGAGUAACACGUGGAUAACCUACCUAUAAGACUGGGAUAACUUCGGGAAACCGGAGCUAAUACCGGAUAAUAUAUUGAACCGCAUGGUUCAAUAGUGAAAGACGGUUUUGCUGUCACUUAUAGAUGGAUCCGCGCCGCAUUAGCUAGUUGGUAAGGUAACGGCUUACCAAGGCAACGAUGCGUAGCCGACCUGAGAGGGUGAUCGGCCACACUGGAACUGAGACACGGUCCAGACUCCUACGGGAGGCAGCAGUAGGGAAUCUUCCGCAAUGGGCGAAAGCCUGACGGAGCAACGCCGCGUGAGUGAUGAAGGUCUUCGGAUCGUAAAACUCUGUUAUUGGGGAAGAACAAAUGUGUAAGUAACUAUGCAUGUCUUGACGGUACCUAAUCAGAAAGCCACGGCUAACUACGUG